rnacentral:misc_RNA from 1 species
GUUCCGGUCCCCCUGUACGUCUCACGUGAAAUUCUGACCCAACAGCCGAAUGCGGCUCGCGAAACAGGAAAGUAGCCCGUGUCGUGCACGAUAAGACCGCUGGACAACGUUGCACCGACGUCCCGAUAAAGUCGCCUUCGGAAGAUCGUUGCACCCGUAACUUUAUUGCUACGGGUGUGACACACGCGUGAUUUGGCCUUGCUGGACGCCUCCUUCGAGUGAUCCUCCCGUGCUCUGCACGGGCGGAGGCUUGGUUGGCUUGACCGCUUGUUGGCUACUAAGCGCAUGAGUAGCUUUGGACCCGUGUCUGCCGGUAGAUCCCCCGUUGUACUGCGGCCGACUACCGGCGCCGUGUCCCGUCAAUCGUGUGGCUUAGAAUCGCUGGAUCAAGAGUGCUUGCGUGUUAGUACCCGACCUACGGGAAGUGGUGCUUCGUAUAAUUGUUGCCUCGCGGCGGACGCCCUCUGGGUGUGCCGCUGCGGCCGAAUAGCGCUUGCGGCGUUCCCUCGUGGCGCUGGCACGUAACGUGCCUGCUGCUAUCAAGGCAACCUCGCUCCCGCUGUUGGUCUCGGAUGCUGCUCACGAUAAAGGGUCGUGGCCCUUUCGGUUGCCUCGACCCGACCCAAAGCUCUCCGAACUGAGAACAACCGGAACAGGAGUUGCCUCUACCUCUCCACAGUUACGUGGUAGGAUACGCGACUCUCUGCGCCGAUCCUCAAGGAGGAUGAGCUAUGCCGCUCAACAGCGACAACCGGCCCGGCCGUUGCCUCUGCGUUUCCACGCAAGUGGAAGGGCGGGAUGACGGCCGACGCUGGGCGUCACCAAGGACGUG